GAUGAACGCUGGCGGCGUGCCUAAUACAUGCAAGUCGAGCGAACGGACGAGAAGCUUGCUUUUCUGAUGUUAGCGGCGGACGGGUGAGUAACACGUGGAUAACCUACCUAUAAGACUGGGAUAACUUCGGGAAACCGGAGCUAAUACCGGAUAAUAUUUUGAACCGCAUGGUUCAAAAGUGAAAGACGGUCUUGCUGUCACUUAUAGAUGGAUCCGCGCUGCAUUAGCUAGUUGGUAAGGUAACGGCUUACCAAGGCAACGAUGCAUAGCCGACCUGAGAGGGUGGUCGGCCAAACUGGAACUGGAACACGGCCCAGACCCUUAGGGGGGGCAACAGUAGGGAAUUUUCCCCAUGGGGGGAAAGCCGCACGGAGCAACCCCGGGGGAGGGAAGAAGGUCUUGGGUUCGUAAAACCCUUUUUUUAGGGAAGAAAAUAUGUGUAAGGAACUGUGACCAUCUUGCCGGUACCAAAUCAAAAAGCCAAGCCUAACUACGG
rnacentral:rRNA from 1 species